rnacentral:rRNA from 1 species
UACGUGGGGGGCCAGCGUUGCUCGGAAUUACUGGGUGUAAAGGGUUCGUAGGCGGUGUGGCAAGUCGGGAGUGAAAUCUCUGGGCUUAACCCAGAGACUGCUUCCGAAACUGCCGUGCUUGAGUGUGGGAGAGGUGAGUGGAAUUCCCGGUGUAGCGGUGAAAUGCGCAGAUAUCGGGAAGAACACCCGUGGCGAAGGCGGCUCUCUGGGACGGUACUGACGCUGAGACGCGAAAGCGUGGGGAGCGAACAGG